AAAGUCGUAACAAGGUUUCCGUAGGUGAACCUGCGGAAGGAUCAUUAUUGAAGUCUCUGAGAGGUUUUCGUUGCUGGCUCUCCGGAGCACUGUGCACGCCUCUCACACUUUAUUCAACCACCUGUGCACCUCUCGUAGCUUUUCAGAUGCUUUCUUCAGUCUUUGGGCUGGCGGGGACUGCUGCAGUGACUUUGCUCACAGCUUCAGGUCCGAUAUCUGAAAGGUUGCGCUUCUACACAAACACUUGUCAAUGUUUAAGAAUGUAUCACGGUCUUUUGGACCUUAAAAACUAUAAAAUACAACUUUCAACAACGGAUCUCUUGGCUCUC
rnacentral:misc_RNA from 1 species